rnacentral:rRNA from 1 species
UACGGAGGAUCCAAGCGUUAUCCGGAUUUAUUGGGUUUAAAGGGUGCGUAGGCGGCCUGUUAAGUCAGGGGUGAAAGACGGUAGCUCAACUAUCGCAGUGCCCUUGAUACUGAUGGGCUUGAAUUGACUAGAGGUAGGCGGAAUGUGACAAGUAGCGGUGAAAUGCAUAGAUAUGUCACAGAACACCGAUUGCGAAGGCAGCUUACUAAGGUUUCAAUGACGCUGAGGCACGAAAGCGUGGGGAUCAAACAGG